rnacentral:rRNA from 1 species
GACGAACGCUGGCGGCGUGCUUAACACAUGCAAGUCGAACGGAAAGGCCCUGCUUUUGUGGGGUGCUCGAGUGGCGAACGGGUGAGUAACACGUGAGUAACCUGCCCUUGACUUUGGGAUAACUUCAGGAAACUGGGGCUAAUACCGGAUAGGAGCUCCUGCUGCAUGGUGGGGGUUGGAAAGUUUCGGCGGUUGGGGAUGGACUCGCGGGUUACCAGCUUGUUGGUGGGGUAGUGGCUUGCCAAGGCUUUGACGGGUAGCCGGCCUGAGAGGGUGACCGGCCACACUGGGACUGAGAGAAGGCCCAGGCUGCGACGGGAGGCAGCAGUGGGGAAGAUUGCACAAUGGGCGGAAGCCUGAUGCAGCAACGCCGCGUGCGGGAAAACGGCCUUGGGGUUGUAAACCGCUUUCGCCUGUAACGAAGCGUGAGUGACGGUAAUGGGUAAAGAAGCACCGGCUAACUACGUG